rnacentral:lncRNA from 1 species
UUCUGCGCCACUAUAGGGAGCGCGAAGCGAAAGUAAAAGAAAUGGCGCCAUUUUGAGGUUUUAAACAGCUGCGUAUUUUGUGGCAAGAUGGACAGUGCCUCCAAAAUGAGUCUCUAUGAAGAGACAGAAGAUGAGGACACUGCCUUUAAAAUCAGUUCUCCAGGACCAAGCUGUGAUCAACCAAUGACCUCUGACCCCAGCAUCACGAGGAGGAAGGAACAGGAAUCAGAGUCUCCAGAACCCAGCUUUGUGUCUAUGAAGAGUGACAUGAAAAAAAAGUGAAGUG